GGGACCCGUCUUGAAACACGGACCAAGGAGUCUAGCAUGUGCGCGAGUCAUUGGGACUGCGAUAAACCUAAAGGCGUAAUGAAAGUGAAGGUUCGUCUCGAACAAACCGAGGGAGGAUGGGUCGUUCCGCGGAACGGCCUCGCACUCCCGGGGCGUCUCGUUCUCAUCGCGAGAGGAGGCGCACCUAGAGCGUACACGCUGGGACCCGAAAGAUGGUGAACUAUGCCUGGUCAGGACGAAGUCAGGGGAAACCCUGAUGGAGGUCCGUAGCGAUUCUGACGUGCAAAUCGAUCGUCGGAACUGGGUAUAGGGGCGAAAGACUAAUCGAACCAUCUAGUAGCUGGUUCCCUCCGAAGUUUCCCUCAGGAUAGCUGGCGCUCGUAGAGCGAGUCUCAUUCGGUAAAGCGAAUGAUUAGAGGCAUUGGGGUCGAAACGGCCUCAACCUAUUCUCAAACUUUAAAUGGGUGAGAUCUCCGGCUUGCUUGAACAGUGAAGCCGCGAGAAUUUUACAAAUGGAUCAGAGUGCCAAGUGGGCCACUUUUGGUAAGCAGAACUGGCGCUGUGGGAUGAACCAAACGUCGAGUUAAAGCGCCCAAAUCGACGCUUAUGGGAUACCAUGAAAGGCGUUGGUAACUUAAGACAGCAGGACGGUGGCCAUGGAAGUCGGAAUCCGCUAAGGAGUGUGUAAA
rnacentral:rRNA from 1 species